UCCAAAUUUUGACAAAAAGUCAUACAAUGAUAUGACGUAAAAAUUGGAGAGCAUGUCGUCCAAAUUUUGAUUGAAGUCAUACUAUGGUAUGUCAUACAAAAUUUGACAAAAAAGUCACAUAGUAUGUUGUACAAAAUUUUACAAAAAAGUCAUUGUAUAGCAUGUCGUACAAAAUUUGAUACAAAAAGUCAUACUUUAGUAUGUCGUCCAAAAUUUGACAAAAAAGUCAUACUAUAGUUUGUCGUCCAAAUUUUGACAAAAAAGUCAUACUAUAGUGUAUCGUACAAAAUUUGACAAAAAAGUCAUAGAAGUAUGUCGUCUAAAUUUUGACAAAAAGGUCAUAGUAUAGCAUGUCGUCCAAAUUUUGACAAAAAAGUCAUACUAUAGUGUAUCAUACAAAAUUUGACAAAAAAGUCAUAGUAGUAUGUCUUCCAAAUUUUGACAAAAAGUCAUACAAUGAUAUGACGUAAAAAUUGGAGAGCAUGUUGUCCAAAUUUUGAUUGAAGUCAUACUAUGGUAUGUCAUACAAAAUUUGACAAAAAAGUCACAUAGUAUGUUGUACAAAAUUUUACAAAAAAGUCAUUGUAUAGCAUGUCGUCCAAAUUUUGACAAAAAAGUCAUAGUAUAGCAUGUCGUCCAAAUUUUGACAAAAAAGUCAUACAAUGAUAUGACGUAAAAAUUGGAGAGCAUGUCGUCCAAAUUUUGGAUUGAAAAGUCAUACUAUGGUAUGUCGUCCAAAAUUUGACAAAAAAGUCAUACUUUAGUAUGUCGUCCAAAUUUUGACAAAAAAGUCAUACUAUAAUAUGUUGUCCAAAUUUUGACAAAAAAGUCAUACUAUAGUGUAUCGUACAAAAUUUGACAAAAAAAGUCAUAGUAGUAUGUCGUCCAAAUGUUGACAAAAAAGUCAUAGUAUAUAGCAUGUCGUCCAAAUUUUGACAAAAAAGUCAUAGUAUAGCAUGUCGUCCAAAUUUUGACAAAAAAGUCAUAGUAUAGCAUGUCGUCCAAAUUUUGACAAAAAAGUCAUAGUAUAGCAUGUCCUCCAAAUUUUGACAAAAAAGUCAUAGUAUAAUAUGACGUCAAAAAUUUGACAAAAAAGUCAUAGUAUAGCAUGUAGUCCAACUUUUGACAAAAAAGUAUAGUAUAGCAUGUCGUCCAAAUUUUGACAAAAAGUCAUAGUAUAGUAUGUCGUCCAAAAUUUGAUAAAAAGUCAUACUACAAUAUGACGUCAAAAACUUGACAAAAAAGUCAUAGUAUAGCAUAUAGUCCAAAUUUUGAUAAAGUCAUACUACAAUAUGACGUCAAAAACUUGACAAAAAAGUCAUAGUAUAGCAUGUAGUCCAAAUUUUGACAAAAAAGUCAUACUACAAUAUGACGUCAAAAACUUGACAAAAAAGUCAUAGUAUAGCAUGUAGUCCAAAUUUUGACAAAAAAAAGUCAUACUAUAAUAUGACGUCUAAAAUUUGACAGUCAUACUAUAGCAUGUCGUAUAAAAUUUGUACGUCCAAAUUUUGAAAAAAGUCAGUAUAGUGUCGUCCAAAUUUUGACAAAAAAGUCAUACUAUAGUUUGUCGUACAAAAUUUGACAAAAAAGUCAUAGAAGUAUGUCGUACAAAAUUUGAUAGAAAGUCAUUCUUUAGUAAGUUGUCCAAACUUUGACAAAAAUGUCAUACUUUAGUAUGUCGUCCAAAAUUUGACAAAAAAGUCAUAGUAUAGCAUGUUGUCCAAAUUUUGACAAAAAAGUCAUAGUAUAGCACGUCGUCCAAAUUUUGACAAAAAAGUCAUACAAUGAUAUGACGUAAAAAUUGGAGAGCAUGUCGUCCAAAUUUUGAUUGAAAAGUCAUACUAUGGUAUGUCGUCCAAAAUUUGACAAAAAAGUCAUUGUAUAGCAUGUCGUCCAAAAUUUGAUACAAAAAGUCAUUCUUUAGUAUGUCGUCCAAAAUUUGACAAAAAAGUCAUACUACAAUAUGACGUCAAAAACUUGACAAAAAAGUCAUACUAUAAUAUGUUGUCCAAAUUUUGACAAAAAAGUCAUACUAUAGUGUAUCGUACAAAAUUUGACAAAAAAAGUCAUAGUAGUAUGUCGUCCAAAUGUUGACAAAAAAGUCAUAGUAUAUAGCAUGUCGUCCAAAUUUUGACAAAAAAGUCAUAGUAUAGCAUGUCGUCCAAAUUUUGACAAAAAAGUCAUAGUAUAGCAUGUCCUCCAAAUUUUGACAAAAAAGUCAUAGUAUAAUAUGACGUCAAAAAUUUGACAAAAAAGUCAUAGUAUAGCAUGUAGUCCAACUUUUGACAAAAAAGUAUAGUAUAGCAUGUCGUCCAAAUUUUGACAAAAAGUCAUAGUAUAGUAUGUCGUCCAAAAUUUGAUAAAAAGUCAUACUACAAUAUGACGUCAAAAACUUGACAAAAAAGUCAUAGUAUAGCAUAUAGUCCAAAUUUUGAUAAAGUCAUACUACAAUAUGACGUCAAAAACUUGACAAAAAAGUCAUAGUAUAGCAUGUAGUCCAAAUUUUGACAAAAAAGUCAUACUACAAUAUGACGUCAAAAACUUGACAAAAAAGUCAUAGUAUAGCAUGUAGUCCAAAUUUUGACAAAAAAAUCAUACUACAAUAUGACGUCAAAAACUUGACAAAAAAGUCAUAGUAUAGCAUGUAGUCCUAAUUUUGACAAAAAAAGUCAUACUAUAAUAUGACGUCUGAAAUUUGACAGUCAUACUAUAGCAUGUCGUAUAAAAUUUGUACGUCCAAAUUUUGAAAAAAGUCAGUAUAGUGUCGUCCAAAUUUUGACAAAAAAGUCAUACUAUAGUUUGUCGUACAAAAUUUGACAAAAAAGUCAUAGAAGUAUGUCGUACAAAAUUUGAUAGAAAGUCAUUCUUUAGUAAGUUGUCCAAACUUUGACAAAAAUGUCAUACUUUAGUAUGUCGUCCAAAAUUUGACAAUAAAGUCAUAGUAUAGCAUGUCGUCCAAAUUUUGACAAAAAAGUCAUAGUAUAGCACGUCGUCCAAAUUUUGACAAAAAGUCAUACAAUGAUAUGACGUAAAAAUUGGAGAGCAUGUCGUCCAAAUUUUGAUUGAAAAGUCAUACUAUGGUAUGUCGUCCAAAAUUUUACAAAAAAGUCAUUGUAUAGCAUGUCGUCCAAAAUUUGAUACAAAAAGUCAUUCUUUAGUAUGUCGUCCAAAAUUUGACAAAAAAGUCAUACUUUAGUAUGUCGUCCAAACGUUGACAAAAAAGUCAUACUAUAGUAUGUCGUACAACAUUUGACAAAAGUCAUAGUACAAUUUGGACAACCCAAAUUUUGACAAAAAAGUCAUACUAUAAUAUGACGUCUAAAAUUUGACAAAAAGUCAUACUUUAGCAUGUCGUCCAAAGUUUGACAAAAAGUCCUACCAUAAUACGACGUCAAAAAUUUGACAAAAAAUUCAUAGUAUAGUAUGUCGUUAAAUAUUUGACAAAACAAGUUUGAUGCACUUAUUUCAAUCAAGGAAACUUAAGUUAUUCACUCUUUUAAGUCCAUCUGUUUACAUAAUUUGGCUCACAUGAAAAAUGGGUUCAAACUAAAGGUGCUAUCUUCUAUGUUGUGAAUCAGAUCCAGAUGUAAAAGCUGAAAUCUUUUGUCUUAUAUUCAUCUUUUGAUGUCAAACCCAAAUAUUUUCAGUUUAUGGUGAAAAUAAAGGAAUUGGCCUCCCUGUUCAAAUUCUA